rnacentral:rRNA from 1 species
CAUAUUUUAGAGCCAAGGUCAUAAUAAAAAUAUAUUUUUCAUUACUUACAAAUCCACCUUCAUUAAAAUUUUAAAUAAUAAAUCCAUAAUAAAUAAAAUUUAUUGUAACCCAUCUCAACCUUAUUUAUAAGCUGCACCUUGAUCUGAUUUUCUUAAUAAUAAUUAAUCAUGAAUAUUAAAAUUCUAAUAAAAUAUUCAACUACAACGAUAUACAAACUAAUUAAAAUAAGUCUAAAUAAUCGUGGACUAUCGAUUAAAGGACAGGUUCCUCUGAAAAGACUAAAAUACCGCCAAAUUUUUAAGCUUUUAAGAAUAUAACUAUUAAUAACUUAAUUAAAAAUUAACAAUUUA